rnacentral:rRNA from 1 species
UAAGCACGAAACUUGCCCCGAGAUGAGUUCUCCCUGACUCCUUGAGAGUCCUGAAGGAACGUUGAAGACGACGACGUUGAUAGGCCGGGUGUGUAAGCGCAGCGAUGCGUUGAGCUAACCGGUACUAAUGAACCGUGAGGCUUAACCUU